ensembl:lncRNA
AGCUGAUCAUCAUCGUAAAUGAAGGAGUAGUUAGUUCCUCCCUUGCUGAGAUGGGAAUUCAUCUACUCUAUUAAUAGACUUUACUACCAUGGAGCAAAAAAGUAGAGAACUACUGUGAAAAUUAAAAGCCACUGUUCUCCUUUUGAGUGUUUACUCUCUGCAAAAUCCCAGCAGAACGAGUUAUCAGAAAAUGGAUGAAAGAAUGCCCUCUAGAGGCAGAAUUCAGCUGAAUAAAAUUCCCAGAUACAGAGAAGAAUUGGAGAACAUAAACAUUACAGCCAUAUGGAGAAGAGUUGGCAUUGCUCAAGCCUCGUGUAAAUACAAACAAGGAAAUGCUGCCUUCUACGAUGCCUGUUAUAGCAAUGAAACUGUAUGAAUUUCAUCCAUGAUUUCUGACAUUUGAUCUUCGUAUAGGAGCAGAGGAUGCCAAGAGAAGAGGAGCCUCGUGUGAGACCUCAGCGGGUAGCUUCUAUCCUCCCUCAUUCUGCUUCAACAGGAGCAAGCAGACCAAGAAGAUGAGAUGAAUUCAUGGACUUUUGGAUAAUACACAGCUGAGACAGUCUACCGUGGAAGCAACUCCUACCACUUUGGAUAACACACACUGAGGAAGAUAUAGUCAUUUUUGGUGUCCCAGAGAAACAGCUGCAGUCCUCAGAGGGUUGUUAUGAGGAUGGUUUCAACACUGCUGCCUCUUUUUGCAACAUCAAAGUAUCCUUUGCAAAGAUUCUAUUCUUAUGUUUACAAACUAAUGAAGAAGCUCUACUUCUAGAGUUGUUCUAGAAGUGUUAUCAACUGAAAUGUGUAAAUAAGGAAGCAAUCUGAAGAACAAGAAGCUCAGCUGAUGGUAGUUUAAUUGAAAGCACUGCUUAAACAAAAGGAAGGGGGCACAGCUAACAAAAUGGAAAAGGGAAAAUCGGUAGAAAAGUAACAGUAGUUGUAAGCUGCUGUGAAACAACACAGACUAAAGAAAAUUGUGUUUAUGUUUUGGGUUUUGUUUUUGUUGCUAGUUUAUUGUUUUUAUAAUGAAUCACACAGAAAUGUAAGAGAAACCAGCAGCAAAGACCUGCAGUGAGAUACUGUGUAGAUUUGUAACGCAGUGCAAAUGCACACAAGUGUUAAAAUACAUUGUCCUAUUUUGAUUAGAGUCUCAUGGCUACAACCUGGCUUAUCUCCUUACAUCUCAUACCAAGCAUGUAAGUCUGCAGAGCAUAAAACUGGCUGUACAUUUUGCUUGAGCACACUUGCAAUCCAUCUUGUAAAAAAAAAAAAAAAAAAAAAAAAACCACAAAAAAACACACCAACCCUCUCAGCCAUGGGAAUAGUCACAGCCUUGUUAAUUUUCAGAAGUCCCCAGUGGGACAUCAUUUUCUUUUAUCUUUUCACAGAUAGCCCGUAGAAUCUUAUGCAUCUUGUGCUGGUUUGGUAUUGAGUGGGCUAUAGUUAUGUAUUAUUUAACACUUUGGCCAAGCCUUGGUUUCAUGAACAAUUCAUCUUCUGCUGUGUGCAUCUGCUCUAGUGAGUAAUGAAGGCGACCAGCCUACGAUUGUGAAGUGCCCCGGGUUCUCUCUCUUACCUAAUUCUGCUUAACGGCAUUUUGAGCUAAUUUUUCUCCUGCCUUUCCUUUGAGAUAAUUCUUUUCUCAGAUGCUGAAUAAUGUCUUCAUCUUACGUAUUGCCAUGACAGUGUCCAUAGGGAAGCUACAAAGCUCGCUAAUGCUGUCACACCCUGUAUUUACUGUUAGAAAUCCUGGUAAUGCAAAGUGCCUGGGGUCAAAGGGGCUACAGAUUUUAGUUUAUAUUUACAGGGAUCCUACUAGCUCUUCUGAUUUAUUGGUUUUUGUGAUCAGUUGGAUAAAUGAAGAUAUUCUGGAACCAUACAUGAAAUACUAAUCUUUUCAGCUUCGUCAUGAACCUUUGCUAAGUGUUAGGACAUUAUAUAAUAGUCUGUUGUUCAGCUAUUCCUCAGUUUUCAGAGGAAAAAAUAAUGUUUCAAAAUUAACUUCCUUAGGCUCUGUUUUUAUGGAAUAUGAGCAGUAUAUUUGCCUAACCUCCGCAGCUCAGAAUUUUCAGAGGGUUAGUCAAGGUAAAAUUGACAAUGUCUAUAUAAAAUGAUGACUAUGCUGAGUAUUUCUUAACUUGCCAGGAAUGGUGAUGACGUGGGGCUUUUUAAAAGCAUGUGUGUGUUUGUUUUUGUUGUUGUGCUUGAGCAAAGGCUCAAGCUUUUGUUGAGGUUUUUUGCCUACCUUCUUUGAUAGACUUCCUGCAUUGCCUGUCCAAAUAUAUUUGCUGCUGUGUGAGAGAUUUCUGUUAUAUCAUUCUAUAAGUUUCUCUCCUUCCAGAAUGAAAUAUCAAGCUGAGGCUAAACUGUAAAAAUAAUGUGUAAACCCAAUUAGGUUAGAUUUCAACUGGGGCUUAUUGGUUAAACUGUAGGAGAGACAUGUUCAGUUUGUACUCUCUGGACAGAGUGUGUACAUCUCACUUAAAAUGGAUGAAAGUAUAUUGAUUUGUGCACAUUGAGAACAGGGCCCUUGCUUUAGCUCAGCAGCUUCAUGGGUCUUGAGUUGGACAGACUUCUCUGUAUGAAUUAACUGCAGUAAGAAGAGGGGGGGAAAGGGAGUUCAUCCUAAUGUUAGUAUUUGUCAGUGUCUCUUUGCAGAGUACUAAAAUGACAAGGAUUGGUUCAGUGACCAUCUUGUAUGGUAUGUUGACACUGAAAAGCAUAACACUGCCACUGCAUACUUCUGCUUUCCGUUCCUUGUUUCUGUAUCAGCACAGCACGCAUCUACUCAUGCACACGACAUACAAUUUGUGCCAUUAAUGAAACUGCAGGAAAAUGACUCAGGUGUGGCUUAAAAGGAGGUGAAAAUGCAUGCAUCCAUACAAGUGUGUGUUAGGAAGAUGGGAUUUGCAAUAUUUUUGUUUUAUAAGUAAACUUUUACUCUUUUUUUUUUUACUGAACAGUUAAGAAAAUAAAAAAAUUAAUCGCCUAACACCAUGUGAGGUGAUGUUCAGAGCAGCAUAGGCUGUUCUAAUGGCUGAUUUUAAUAAUAAAAGACAACAGGGGACUAAAAGGUGUGGUGUGGUAAGCUGAGAAACACAUUCCUUUCCCCAGAGGGUGUACUUAGCUUUGUGCCUUUGAUCACUUGAGAAGUACCAUCAGAGUGCAAAAUGGCAGGCACUAGGGAACGUUACGGCAAUUAUAAGGUGAUCGUUUUUAAAAAAUCAAAAGAAGUUUGAACUUAUUUGGGAGCUUUUUCCCAUUCAAGUCUGCUUGCAUCUGAACGGUAAGAUGCUGUAUUAGAUAACAUAUGGACACUUCAGUGGGACUGUUCUUCAGAUAUUGACUCCGAAGUUAGCUCUGGUGCUGAACAAUCUGUACAGAACAGGC